UACGUAGGCAGCAAGCGUUGUUCGGAGUUACUGGGCGUAAAGGGUGUGUAGGCGGUUGUUUAAGUUUGGUGUGAAAUCUCCCCGGCUCAACUGGGAGGGUGCGCCGAAUACUGAAUGACUAGAGUGCGGGGAGAGGAAAGUGGAAUUCCUGGUGUAGCGGUGAAAUGCGUAGAUAUCAGGAGGAACACCGGUGGUGUAGACGGCUUUCUGGACCGUAACUGACGCUGAGACACGAAAGCGUGGGUAGCAAACAGG
rnacentral:rRNA from 1 species